CUGUGGUAUGUCAGGAAGCCAACAAAAACUCGUCAGCAAUUGUUGGACAGUCAAAAAGAAGCAAAAGUAUCGCAAUGAAGCUCACAGCUCUAAUAACUGCUCUCGCCUUCGUCGCCCUUACAUCAGGAGCACCAAGCGAAGAUCGCAUUUACGCUGGUAGUAAAGGCCUACAACCGCCAUACCUUUUUUGGUUUCGAUAGUGGUGAAUGAACAUGCGGUGGAUGGAUUUAUAAUAAUGACUGGAUUGUCACAACGGCCACUUGCAUUGUCGAGAAACUCAAUUAUAAACAAAUGAAUGUUUGGUAUUAACAAUUUGGUAUUAACAAUGCCCUUAUUGAAUAAUAUUCGAAAAUUACGAACCGAGUCAGUUAAGUGUCAUCGCUGCUCAGGUGUCGUUGCUUCAGCCGGACGCAGACCAAGUUUCGGUAAAUUUUUUCAAGAUUUACCGCUACAGCACUUUCGACCCUGUAACUAAGUUGGACGACAUCGCUUUGCUGCAGAUAGCUAAAUUAAAUUGAUUUUAAAUAUCGAGUUUAAUUGGUUUCAAGAUUUCGACAAUUUUUACCAACGCAAUAGGCAAAUUGCGUUGGUAUUGCCAAUAGCUCGCAACAACUCUGUUUUUGGGCACUAACGUCAAUUUCGUUCGUUACGAAGAAAGAAGUAGUUGAAGAUGGCCCCAUUAAUGCCGCUUUUGAAGGAUGGGGAAGCUUAGUUUCUAUCGUUUCUGUGCCGUCAUCCCGAUUUCGCCUAACAGUUGCUUGGCUUAACGGAUCAGCUCCUAUAUCAAACAAUGAGAUUCAAUGUCGCCAUUAUUAUAGACUGAGAAUCGAAUCCAUUCUUCCAUCGCGAGCGGCCACAAAAUGAUUUCAGUUGCAUCAUGGAAUUUUAAGUACAGCGUUUCUUCGACGUUCGCAUCCGGAUUAAAAACAAUUGGGGGACGUCUGUG